UACGCCCCACGGUCCCACUCCACCGCCGCCAUCCACCCCACUACCGACACCUUCGUAUACCCCGGAUUCCUCGCUUCAUGCCCGUCGGAGCCUAUCCCCACUUCUCGCAGAGCCCCGUUCCUGUCCCCACCAUCCGUCCAGCCAGCACUCUCAUGAACCCCCACCGGCGACGACGCAGCGACGUUCUCAGGCCGACAGUGGCGCCGUCAACAGGGACGCCUUGAAACUCAUCCCCACUACCUAACAGCAGCACCACCAGGGAGACCGCCAUCGCCAUCCUCGCAUCGGUUACUUGCCUGCCACGAUUUUGGCAGCUCUGGGAACGAGAUUGUUCCACCGUGCCGUGAACGAAGCGUGAACUGCUGCCAGCAAUGUAUAGCUGGAGAGGGCGGCGGCGGGCGUCGAAGGCUGGAUCUUCGACGUGGCGCGUUUCACUAUAGGAAGAACGAUGCAUGCCCUGACUCUUGCUGGCGCUGCCGCACUUUCGGCGCCCGAUAACAGCACAUCGCCGUCUCGCUGACGGCGCCGAAUUUCUUGAGCAUCGACACGCCACUGCUUUUACCUGGGAACCACCACGACUGAACGCUACCAAUCGAUGAUCGAUCAGUUUAAAGCCUCGCAGUCCUGGAUUUAACCCUUGGAGACGCCCCGCGCUUUCACCGAUUCUUGGUGAGCUUAAAUUAUUAUUAUUAAACAUAUAAAGAUCGAUUGCACUGUCAAUUGGUCAAGCCUUAUCGAAAUUGGGCUUUAUUAUUAACGAUCUAACAAAUUUCAUAGGAGCGUUGUCACGUUUCUGCCAUAUAUUAUUCUUGAUAAUGAUACAAUGAUUUUAUGACUGAAAAUCAAUGGAUUCCUAGUUUAUUAAAAAAACUCAUAAGUGGCUUUAGUAUAUCUCUGUAAUUUACUGUAUCGAUAAUUUAUGUACUUUUUACGAUAAAACCUGAGAUCGUAUAUCAAA